AUGGUGGUGCAGUGGCAGUAUCGUAGCUAAUGAGGUUAAUCCGAGGUGCGAUUAUUGCUAGUUGAUUACUUUAGCAUGUAUUUGUCUCACUCCUGUCUGAGUUUUUUAUGGGGAAAAAAAAGAGCAGUGGCUUUCAAAUCUUGUUAGCCAU
rnacentral:snRNA from 1 species